GGGGGGGGGGGGGGGGGGGGGGGGGGGGGGGGGGGGGGGCGGGGGGGGCGGGGUGGGGGGGGGGGCGCGGGGGGCGGGCGGGUGGGGGACGCGGGGGUCACCGGCCGGUGACUUUGGGAUACCUUCAGGGACCUGGGGCUAAUCCCGGAUAGGAGCUCCUGCUGCAGGGUGGGGUGUGGCAAGUUUCGGCGGUUGGGGAUGGACUCGCGGCUUAUCAGCUUGUUGGUGGGGUAGUGGCUUACCAAGGCUUUGACGGGUAGCCGGCCUGAGAGGGUGACCGGCCACAUUGGGACUGAGAUACGGCCCAGACUCCUACGGGAGGCAGCAGUGGGGAAUAUUGCACAAUGGGCGGAAGCCUGAUGCAGCAACGCCGCGUGCGGGAUGACGGCCUUCGGGUUGUAAACCGCUUUCGCCUGUGACGAAGCGUGAGUGACGGUAAUGGGUAAAGAAGCACCGGCUAACUACGUG
rnacentral:rRNA from 1 species